GUCUCCCGGAUUAUAACCUUGUGUCGUAUUUUAAGAACUUUAAGGACUGUGGGAUUGACUUGUCUUUUCCUGUUUGAGAUAACGAUUUUUUUUUUAUGUAUGCCUUCCUGUCUUGAAUGCCAUCAUUAAUUUCCCUGCUUAUUGGUUUGGUGUUUUGCAGUUAUAACUUGAAACUCUGUAUUUCGAGUCCUGAAGAAGGUCCCCAUCGGGAUUGAAACGUCGACUAGAUGAAAUAAAGAAGAGUUAUU